rnacentral:snoRNA from 1 species
GUCCGAAGUACAGUGAUGUUGUCUUUUCCAAGCAUAUAUCUGACUGCUCUGUGUGGAAAGUGACUGUUGCUGAGUAUUUUGGAU